rnacentral:rRNA from 1 species
AUUGAACGCUGGCGGCAGGCCUAACACAUGCAAGUCGAGCGGAUGAAGGGAGCUUGCUCCUGGAUUCAGCGGCGGACGGGUGUGUAAUGCCUAGGAAUCUGCCUGGUAGUGGGGGAUAACGUCCGGAAACGGGCGCUAAUACCGCAUACGUCCUGAGGGAGAAAGUGGGGGAUCUUCGGACCUCACGCUAUCAGAUGAGCCUAGGUCGGAUUAGCUAGUUGGUGGGGUAAAGGCCUACCAAGGCGACGAUCCGUAACUGGUCUGAGAGGGUGAUCAGUCACACUAGAACUGAGACACGGUCCCGACUCCUACGCAAGGCAGCAGUCGGGAAUAUUGGGCAAUGGGCGAAAGACUGAUCCAGCCAUGCCGCGUGUGUGGAGAAGGUCUUCGGAUUGUAAAGCACUUUAAGUUGGGAGGAAGGGAAGUAAGUUAAUACCUUGCUGUUUUGACGUUACCAACAGAAUAAGCACCGGCUAACUUCGUG